rnacentral:rRNA from 1 species
GGCGUAAAGAGCUCGUAGGCGGUUUGUCGCGUCUCUGUGGAAAUCCGAGGCUCAACCUCGGGCCUGCAGUGGGUACGGGCAGACUAGAGUGCGGUAGGGGAGAUUGGAAUUCCUGGUGUAGCGGUGGAAUGCGCAGAUAUCAGGAGGAACACCAAUGGCGAAGGCAGAUCUCUGGGCCGUAACUGACGCUGAGGAGCGAAAGCAUGGGGAGCGAACAGGAUUAGAUACCCUGGUAGUCCAUGCCGUAAACGUUGGGAACUAGAUGUGGGGACCAUUCCACGGUCUCCGUGUCGCAGCUAACGCAUUAAGUUCCCCGCCUGGGGAGUACGGCCGCAAGGCUAAAACUCAAAGGAAUUGAUGGGGGCCCGCACAAGCGGCGGAGCAUGCGGAUUAAUUCGAUGCAACGCGAAGAACCUUAACAAGGCUUGACAUAUACCGGAAACGGCUGGAAACAGUCGCCCCGCAAGGUCGGUAUACAGGCGGUGCAUGGUUGUCGUCAGCUCGUGUCGUGAGAUGUUGGGUUAAGUCCCGCAACGAGCGCAACCCUCGUCCUAUGUUGCCAGCACGUAAUGGUGGGAACUCAUGGGAUACUGCCGGGGUCAACUCGGAGGAAGGUGGGGAUGACGUCAAAUCAUCAUGCCCCUUAUGUCUUGGGCUUCACGCAUGCUACAAUGGCCGGUGCAAGGGGCUGCGAUACCGCAAGGUGGAGCGAAUCCCAAAAAGCCGGUCUCAGUUCGGAUUGAGGUCUGCAACUCGACCUCAUGAAGUCGGAGUCGCUAGUAAUCGCAGAUCAGCAACGCUGCGGUGAAUACGUUCCCGGGCCUUGUACACACAGCC